UUAGUUUAGACGUUCCAUCCCUCCAGUUGGUCUGCAUCAUGGUUGUUGUAUCAGUAAGCUGUGUUUUGGAACAAACCACCCCAAUCUUUAGUAGCUUAAAAUAAUAGCCAUUUAUUAUUUCUCCCAAGUCUACAGUUCACUGGGUGAUACUGCUGUCUGAAAUGGGUCUUGACUGAUCUCAACUGGGUUUACUUAUGCAUCUUCAGCCAGCUGGCUCCAAGCUUGAUAUAGAAGACUAUCAUAUGAACCAGAAAGGGUAACUGAAACCAAAGAAAUGACUCCAGUAUCAAGCUAAAGACAUGCCUUAAAGGAUGAGGAGGAGCAGAAAUCUUACCAGCAAGGCAAGAAAGAAGCCGUACGUGAACAGCCUCUGCUUUAGGCCCAGAAGGAAAAGAAGCUUACAGGAGACAAUCAGUCUUACACUCUUCCAUGGUCACAAACAAGAGGUCCCUGGAUCUACAGGUCAUCUUGCCCCUGAAAUGGCCCUGGAAAGCUAUGGCUGAAGAAUGGAGGAAAAGAUGACUUUCUCUGUUUCUUCAGACCAGGCAUCAACUGGGAUGUUGGGAUGUUGAUAAAAGGACAUCUCAUCCUUUGUUUUCUGCCUAUGCUUUCACCAUACCCAUUCCCAUGUCUGGUCAUCACAGCAUCCUUCACAGCCCUUAGCUGAAUCAUGUUGAGUACAGGAUGGUGUGAAUAUCAUGGUUUGAAUGCAACCAUGGUCUGUCAGUGUGGCUUGUUUUUUGCAGCCCACUUAGACUUAAGCCCUCUUAAUUUCAAAAUUACGUUCAUAUGUGCCAAUAAAGUUG
rnacentral:lncRNA from 1 species